rnacentral:lncRNA from 1 species
UCAGUCGUCCGGUCUCCAGUCCGGCCAUCGGCCACCGCGCCGGCAUUGCCGUCUGCGGUGGCCGGAGAAGGAAAAAUUCCCAACUUGGCUUUCUCGACCCCUCUAAGCCCGAAUCUGGGUUUAAAAUCUUCAAACAGUAAGAGAAAAAGCCUCAAAAGCCCAGGAAACCUUUCGGCUUCCAGCCGUCUGUCCUCGGAGACGACUUCCUCGGCCGUUCACGGCGAUUUGGGCUCAAAACAUAGGUUAUUUCUCUCUUUUCUCGUAUUUAUUUUAUUCAUAUCUAUAUAAAUUAUAAAAAAAUAAAUAUAACAGUAGAAAAUAAAUAAAAACUGCAAGUAACAAACUUUGAUCGAUUUUUGUUCUCUGUAUUGUGAAAGUAAUAGCUUUUUUUAUUUGAUUUCCGAAUCGGGAUCCUUAUUACAGUGUUCGAUGGCCUUUUUUAUAGCCGAAUUAAAUAAAUCUAAAGAAGAAACAAAUCUGUUUCUUUAUUUGAUUUGCAAAUCUUUGAUUCACUUUCCAUAUUUGCUGUUUGUUGUUUGCUGUGCAGGUGAAGGUCGGGGCUGCAGCGCGAACGUGACAAUCCUGGUUGCGGCGCGAGGCUCACCUUAGAAACCCUAGGGUUUCUUCCACUGUUUUUGGGCCACUACACUUGAGCCAUUGUUAUUGUAUUUUGGGUUUGGGUUUUGG